CCUGGCUGAACCACAUUGAUCUGUAUGAGGAAUCUACCGAUUCCUCCUAAAAGUCCCCUAAGGGGACUAAAAGUGUAAAAAAAAAAAAAAAGUUUUAAAAAACACCCAUUAACCACUUCCAUAUUAAAAGUUUGAAUCACCCCCUUUUCCAAAAUUCCAUAUAAGAAAUACGUAAACAUAAUAAAAAUAAACAUAUGUGGUAUUACCGCGUGUGUAAAUGUCCGAACUAUAAAACAUAAUGUUAAUUAAACUUCACAAUCAAUAGCAUACACCAUGGGUGUCAAACAUGCGGCCCACAAUGAAUAUCUUUCUGGCCCAGCAAAGAUAUUCAUUGCUACGGUUACCUGGAAACGGGCAGAGAUGAAAUAAAAAAGUCAGAGGCUGUCCAGGAGCGGUUGAAGGAUGGUGGAGGCGGUCCAAGAGAAGUUGGAGGCAGUCCAGUAGCUGACAAGUGGUCCAGAAGAGGAUGGAGGCUGUCAGAGGCAGUCAAGGAGCUGUUGGAGGCGGUCCAGGAGAGGAUGGAGGUGCGCAGAGGUCAACGUCAUGUCCAGAUGUGACGUCAUCAGGCUGCUCCUUAAAGGAGUUCUGACACAUGCUGCGGACGGCACCAUUGCGGCUAUAGACACAGGAAACCAGAUUGACAAGGCAACAAAGAAGACAAGACAUUUCAAGGAUCAGAGGGAGGAUGGCCAGGAGCAGCCGAAUACAACCAACAAACCAAGAAGAUUGGUUCCUAGCAUGCCUUCAAAAUGCCUAGGACAGGAUAAAGAAAACAUUCAGCAAAGAGAAGUUGAAAGGGGUAAUCCAGGAUGAGAAAAUCAGAGCUGAUUUCUUCUGAAAACUGCACCACCUCUGUCCUAAUGUUGUGUGUGAUAUCGCUGCUAAAUUCUUCAAAAGUGAAUGGAGAAAACUUGUAAUAUUACAUACAACAUGAGGACAGGUAUGGUGCUGUUUUUGGAAACAAAUAGUUCUGUUUUCUAUUCCCUUUUAACAAACUCCUAGGAUGCAGCAACAUUCAUCUGAUGGACGGCACAGAACUGUGAGACAAGGUUGGUGACAUCACACAUGUGACCUCACAAGGGAUUAGCUAUAUCUUUGCCUUUCUUAUAAUCAGGCAACAAAGAAGACAAGACAUUUCAAGGAUCAGAGGGAGGAUGGCCAGGAGCAGCCGAAAUACAACCAACAAACCAAGAAGAUUGGUUCCUAGCAUGCCUUCAAAAUGCCUAGGACAGGAUAAAGAAAACAUUCAGCAAAGAGAAGUUGAAAGGGGUAAUCCAGGAUGAGAAAAUCAGAGCUGAUUUCUUCUGAAAACUGCACCACCUCUGUCCUAAUGUUGUGUGUGAUAUCGCUGCUCAAUUCUUCAAAAGUGAAUGGAGAAAACUUGUAAUAUUACAUACAACAUGAGGACAGGUAUGGUGCUGUUUUUGGAAACAAAUAGUUCUGUUUUCUAUUCCCUUUUAACAAACUCCUAGGAUGCAGCAACAUUCAUCUGAUGGACGGCACAGGUAGGACACUACAUGUUUUUCUAUACAUUUCUCACUAUUAACACCAGAUUCAUGUAACUAACACAAUCAUUUCAAUGGCCUCAGUGCUGAACUUCUAGACACAUGGGAUAUUUAUCAAAACCUAUGUACAGGAAGAGUAUCAUCUUUCAUCCUUUAGAGAUUUUUGGUGAGAUUUAUCAAAAUCUGUGCAAAGGAAAAGUUGACCAGUUG